CCCUUCUCUCUCCUCUUCUUCCAAGCCCGAUACCACCACUCUUUCUUUUCUUCUCUCGCGUCUCAGUCGGCCAGACCAAACGAGCCAUCUCCAGCAACCACCCAAUGACACGCACCCCACCACGAGCUUCCUUGGCCCCCGAAACCCCCAACCCAUGAAGCUUGCCUCCCCACUCGUCGGCAUCCGUCGCAACUGGCCCCCCGAAGUUCUGUCGCCGAUGUGAGUUUGGAGGAUUUUUCUGGCCUCCACCGUCUUCGAAACAAGAAUUCAAGGGAAUGGUUGGGUUCGUGAGCUCAAGAUAAGCAAAACCCCUAUGGAAAUUGGACUGAAAUGUCGCUGGAGGUGCUCACCAAUGUCACGAACGACUUUCUUCUUCUUCUUAUCUAUUCCAUGGAUAUACAUACAUGGUAUGCUCUCUCGUCAACCCUUAUUGGUGGUGUAAUGGGUGCACAUGCUCAAUUAUGGGAGCAAAGCUUAUGAAGAAUCCAAGCAACUAGUGGAGAGCCAAACAACUCAGGAGAUGUUUUCAAUUCAUUUCCAGUAGAUGUAUUCUCUAUAGUUGGUUGAUUUCAGAGUUUACUUUUAUUGUGUUGAAAUUUUUACAUCAAUCAAGCAAACUGCUUCAAUGUAUAUAUUUACCUUUCUAUGUUUAUUUUCAAUUAUAAGUUCUUUGGCUUUUCCUUUAGAACUUCUUACUAUCAAGCUUCAAGUGCUUCUUGGAUAUAUAGUGUCAGAAAAACUACUUAUGACUUUGUAUUUUAUCAAACUCCAGGAAGGAUAAUGUUGGAUUCUUCUCUAGUUGGAUAAUGUUGAAAUAAUUUUAAGUUCUGUUUCGUCAGACCUGAUUUAAGUAUUGUUUAUCUUCUUAACAUCAAGCAAAGCUUAUGAAGAAUCCAAGCAACUAGUGGAGAGCCAAACAGCUCAAGGAGAUGUUUUCAAUUCAUUUCCAGUAGGUGUAUUCUCUAUAGUUGGUUGAUUUCAGAGUUUACUUUUAUUGUGUUGAAAUUUUUACAUAAAUCAAGCAAACUUGCUUCAAUGUAUAUAUUUAGCUUUCUAUGUUUAUUUUCAAUUAUAAGUUCUUUGGUUU